rnacentral:rRNA from 1 species
UCCACACAGUAAACGAUAAGCACUAGAUGUUGGGGGAUAAUAUCCUUCGGUGUCGCAGCUAACGCGUUAAGUGCUUCGCCUGGGGAGUACGAUCGCAAGAUUAAAACUCAAAGGAAUUGACGGGGGCCCGCACAAGCGGUGGAGCAUGUGGUUUAAUUCGAUGCAACGCGAAGAACCUUACCUGGACUUGACAUCCUGGGGAUUCUGUAGAGAUACGGGAGUGCCCUUCGGGA